UACGUAGGGGGCAAGCGUUGUCCGGAUUUAUUGGGCGUAAAGCGAGCGCAGGUGGUUUAUUAAGUCUGGUGUAAAAGGCAGUGGCUCAACCAUUGUAUGCAUUGGAAACUGGUAGACUUGAGUGCAGGAGAGGAGAGUGGAAUUCCAUGUGUAGCGAUGAAAUGCGUAGAUAUAUGGAGGAACACCGGUGGCGAAAGCGGCUCUCUGGCCUGUAACUGACACUGAGGCUCGAAAGCGUGGGGAGCAAACAGG
rnacentral:rRNA from 1 species